GGCCAUCUCCUUGUCAUGCUGCUGACAACUCCAGCUGACUCCUCCAUCUGGAUUUGGAGUUUCAGCCCUGUGGCUCUGGGCUCUGAUUGGCGAGUACCAACAUCCCAUUUCUAGGCCAUUUCUAUUUCAUUCAAGCAGCAGUUCCAGGACUCUCCCAGAAUGUCUCAGCAGCAGCAGCAACAGUGUUGCCCCCCAAAGCAGCAGUGCUGCCCCCCACAGCAGCAGUGCUGCCCCCCACAGCAGCAGACCAAGCAGCCCUGCCAACCUCCUCCCAAGUGUGCCCCCAAGUGUGCACCCCCUCCCUGCCAGCAGAAGUGUCCACCUGCCCAGCAGUGCCAGAAAUCCAAGCAGAAGUGAGCUCACCCCUCACUCCUUCAGGAAAAACAGAGAGCUCCCCAUCCCCAAGACUCAAGGGCCCCUUCUCCCAGCCAGCCAGCCAGCCAGCCAGCCAGCCAGCCACUCACCUGGCCCAGGUCCCAGCUCGCCUGCUCUUCAAUGCUGUUGUGUUCCUGAAGGCAGCGUCGAGGUGGCGGCUUCCUUAAUCUCUACCUGCUAUUAGUGUGGCACGGAAUCCCUGACAAGGAUCACAUUUGUUGGGAGCGUCUAGUCAUUACCACUAAAAUGUAUCUACAUCUCUUGGCUGGCUUCUUGGAAUCCCCAGGCACUGCGCCCGGAUGCUUUCUCCCAUCGUUCUUCUCUGUUCCUGUUUCCUGAUCUAUUAAAAAUAUAAUUGCUCUAGCACCAACUUUUCUGCCUCCACUUUUAUUUAAAAUAUCCAAUGAUCCUGGAAGAUUAUUCACACCAUGUUUUGGUGUAGCUUCCGACAGAAGCCCUCCCUCAUAUGGGAGUCAAAGUGAAAACAGUAAAUAGUUGAAUAUUUAAAAGAAGCACAGAGCCAUGGAUUUAGGGUUGGAAGGACCCUCGGAGACUUUCUAGUCCAACUGUCUCAUUUUACAGAUGAGGAAAGUGAGGUAUAGAAAGGCGAAAAAACUUGCAUCCUUUGAGAUUGAAGAAUUUAGAGUGGGGAGGAGUUGGGGAGAUAUCUUUAAAGCUUCCGGAGAAGGGAGGGUCAAUAUGCUAACACUUAGAAAAAAGCACAUUGUAGGAAUAUCAAUAAUAUGGAAAUAGGUCUUGAUCAAUGAUACAUGUAAAGCACAGUGGAAUUGUGGGUCGGCUGUGGGGGUGGGGGGGUGGGAAGAGGGGAGGGAAGGAACAUGAUUCUUGUAACCAUGGAAAAAUAUUCUAAAUUAACUAAUUAAAUACCCCCCCCCCAAGGAAAAAAAAAACAUUGUAGGGAGAGGGAGGGCAGGAAGAGAGUCAUGUUGUUGAACGAGAGACUCCUGGAAGGCAGAUGUUGGAAGGGACUUUGG
ensembl:lncRNA